UACAGAGGGUGCGAGCGUUGUCCGGAAUCACUGGGCGUAAAGGGCGCGUAGGUGGUGGCUUAAGCGUGCGGUGAAAGCUCGGGGCUCAACUCCGAGUCGGCCGUGCGAACUGGGCUCACUGGAGCAUAGUAGAGGCAGGUGGAAUUCCGGGUGUAGCGGUGGAAUGCGUAGAGAUCCGGAAGAACACCAGUGGCGAAGGCGGCCCGCUGGGCAGUUACUGACACUGAGGCGCGAAAGCGUGGGGAGCAAACAGG
rnacentral:rRNA from 1 species